UGUUAGAAAAAUCAUCAAAUUCUAUUGUUAAAACCUGGCGUGGCUUGACAGAAGAACCAGAUAGAUGCACCAAGUGUACCUCAUGUUGGCAUGUAAAGAUCAAUUUUUAACAAUAGAAAUGAAUGUAAUUUUUAACA
rfam:Gossypium raimondii Chr13_contig_1344, whole genome shotgun sequence.